CCGGCCUCUAAGGAGGAAUUUCAGGGUCCCUCCCGUCGAGUCCACAGAGUCGAAAGGGACACUCGACUAGGUCCCCUCUCCAACUCUGAAUGCCUUCAUUGUGUGGAUACCCUAACCUCAAAGUGGUUAAGAGGGAACUAAGACGUUCGCCCGGUCUAGGUGUUGGUCUCCCCUUGAUUUGGAUUCACCUCAGUUUUCCUUAUCUGUCCUGUCGUGUCUUAGGGUCUGUAUGUGCGGAAAGAUACCACAGUGUGAACACCUCCUGUUGUCGAUGACAGUAAUUUAAUAAGUAGUUUGCAGGGGAAGGCAUUCAACAUCUACAAAGGAGUGCUGACUCUUUCAAGCUGCAUUCACCAGGUUCCUGGAUAGCUGAGUUCCAGCUGCGAUUUGCCCAGGGGGAGACAUCAGCAGGAAACUAGAAGGUGGAAGGAAAGGCAAAAAGUCAAGAUAUUUCUUCCCUGUCCCCUACCUCAGUCCUAAUGCUUGCUGCUUCUCCUUUAUAGCCUUGUUCCCCCUGAACCUGUCCACUGGGAUUCCAGCUUUUUUCUUUGACACCAGUCCCAGAGCUCCAGAAACAUCAUCUUCCAUGUGUCCAUCAACCUAGAGAUUGUGGCUGGCUUUAGCUGCCUAAUCUUGCCUGCUAUGGAUGGAUUAUUUGUGUGCUCCAAAAAUUCAUAUGUUUAAAUCCUAACCCCCAAGGUGAAGGUAUUAAUUAGGAGGUGGGGGUCUUUGGAAGGUAAUUAGGUUAUGAGGGCACAGCCCUCAUGAAUGGGAUUAGUGCCAUUAAAGAUGAGGUGCAAGAGAGACGCCUCUCCCUUUCUAAAUGCGAAAACACAGGAAGAAGACCACUGUCUGUCCCAGACACUGAAUCUGCCAGCACCCUGAUCACUGAACUCCAGCCUCCAGAACUGUGAGAAAUAAACUUCUGCUGCUUGUAAGCCACCCCACUUAUGAUUUUGUCAUUAUAGCAGCCCAGUCAGACUAAGAUACUGCUGUACCUUCCCUUUUGGCUUUUUAGCGCUCCUAUCAUGUGUGUAACUGAUUUCCUGUAUUCUAUUCCCUCUGUUUUCUUAACUGGAUCUCAAUUAAUACAAUAACAAAUAAUACUUUAAAGAGUGAUAAAAAUAUAUAAGACCACUAUAAAUGGAUUAAGCUGUCAUUAAGGCAAGUCUAGGUUUUCAAAGGUGCUACUUGAACAGUGAGUUUACUUGAAGAUAGCAGUAAAUGAUUUCCUAUUAUGCAUAUGUUGACUUUUAAGAAAUACAUGUUAUUUUUAAAACCUUAAAAAAAAUUAUGAACAGGCUGCCAGUGGUUCAAAGGUAGGGAGGGGAAAGAUGAAUUGAUAAAACAGGAUUUUUAGGGAAGCAAAGACUAUUCUGUAUGAUACUAUAAUGGUGGAUACAAAUCAUUAGACAUUUGUCAAAAACCACAGGACAUAAAACACAAAGUGAACCCAAGUGUAAACUAUGUACUUUGGUUAAUAAUAAAAUAUCAAUAUGGGCUCAUCAGUUGUAACAAACAUACCUCACUCAUGUAAAAUGUUAAUAAUAAUGGGGAAACUGUGAAGGGGACUUACAUAUAUCUCUGAUUUGUGCCUAGAGAAAUGUUUAAGGCUAGGCCUAAUGAUGAAUAUUAAAUUGCAAAUAUAAAAUUUUCCAUUCAUAUUUUUUAAAUUGAUGGAUAACUAAUAAAUAAGUACUUCGGAGACACUAAUUUGAUUGCAUUGUCAAACUGACUAGUCGGGAGCAAGAGAAUACCUGUCAACUGAAAAAUCUGAGCACAUAAAUAUUUUCAAAUAAGAGCAUCUUCCUCCCUCCUCAACAUACUCUGCCUACAUCUGCUACAUCCUAGAAGAUGUAGAAGAUAAAGAUAAUUAACUAUAGAUUAGUUUUGCCUAUUCUAGAAUUUCAUAUAAACGGAAUCAUGAGGUAUGUUCUCUUUUGUGCCUAGACUUUUUUCAUUCAGAAUGUUUGAGAUUCACCCAUGUUGUUGUGUUUAUCAGUAGUUUUUUUUUUAAUUGAUGAGUAGUAUUCUAUUGUAUGAAUAUAGUUGUUAAAUCACAUCCAUUUGCUGCCAAAAAUAUUACUACUAUAUUUUUAUUCCUCUUCUUUUGCUGCCUACUAUGGUGGGCUGCCGUCUAUGGGGUCACACGGAGUCGGACAUGACUGAAGUGACUUAGCAGCAGCAGCAGCAUGGUCAUAUUGCAGCAACAGUCCAUCGCUGUCAAAAUUAGAAUUCACAUCAGUCAGCAGAUGCCCAUUACGCACUCCAGAGCAUUCAUUAAAAGUCCAACUGCUUUUUUAAAUGAAAAGGAAGCAGACAACUAAAUAUGAAAACUUCUCACAAAGUUAUCUCCUGUGCUCAGAUAGUACCAACCACUUUAUUCUUCAUUGAGUGUGGAGCUGAUGGAAUUGAGCCACAAUGACAUUUGUGACUAGAGGGGAAGAUGGAAAUGAUUCCAUUAACCUAGAGUGCUGUAACAUAUGGUAAUCAUAGGUGGUAGAAUAGCUGGGUUGGACAAGGGUAAAGUAAGCCAUGUGGCACAGACAUUAUCAAUUACCACACAUGGUAACCAUGCUGAUACAAUGUAGCUUUUCCAGAAGGGAAAUGAUUUGGGCAUAUGAAUUGACUUACUGGCUUAUGAAAGAGUGAUCUAUAAAUGACAUAUCUGGCACCAAUAUAGCACACGUGGUUUCCAGUAAUUUUGCAAGUUGGGGACUAUUAAGAUUUGAAGAACCUCCAUAUACCUAAAUGUCAGUACAAUGUAUUGCAGUUAUUUGCACAAAGGCAGCAAGCCAAAAUAUCGAUGCAAAAUAAACUUGGACCAUUCAUAUAAAACUAUCAAAUAUCUUUUUCAGGUGUCAUAUAAAAUCCUGGAAUUUUGUAUCUCUGGAAAAAAUAAUUUCAUGAAUCUUUAAGGUAUAAAGCUUACAGGCAUGGCAAAAGUUCAAGAUUAGAUCUAAACUGUACUGGGAGAUGGAAUUACAAUUACUUGUAAGUAUUGGCAAAAAUAUUGAUUUUGAAAGAAACAUGAUGAAAACUGUAUUUUAAGAAAAUUUAAUAUACAAAUACUCUUUCAGAAGGAACACUGAAGGCUGAAAGAUCAGUUGGGCAGUGGGAGAUAAUGAGUACAGAAAAGAAGAGUGUCAGUGGAAAUGAAGAUGAACAGAAGAAACUAAAAGACACUCUAUAGGAAGAUCGGAAAUUCUAACAGGACACCUGAUGAUACAACUUCAGAAGACCAGUAAACCACCCACAGAGGCUCACAAGUAACUAUUGUGGCUAUCUAUUGCUGCAAAACAAAUUACUGCCAAACUUAGCGGCUAAGACAAAAACCAUCUUAAAAAGGGUCUACUGUAUAGCAAGGGAACUCU